rfam:Ictidomys tridecemlineatus contig111401, whole genome shotgun sequence.
GGCAUGUGGCUCAGUGGUAGAGCACUUGCCUAGCCCACAGGAGGCCCUGGGUUCAAUCCCCAGCAUUGCCA